AGUGAACGCUGGCGGUAGGCCUAACACAUGCAAGUCGAACGGCAGCACAGUAAGAGCUUGCUCUUACGGGUGGCGAGUGGCGGACGGGUGAGGAAUACAUCGGCAUCUACUUUUUCGUGGGGGAUAACGAAGGGAAACUUACGCUAAUACCGCAUACGACCUACGGGUGAAAGCAGUGGAUCUUCGGACCUUGCGCGAUUGAAUGAGCCGAUGUCGGAUUAGCUAGUUGGCGGGGUAAAGGCCCACCAAGGCGACGAUCCGUAGCUGGUCUGAGAGGAUGAUCAGCCACACUGGAACUGAGACACGGUCCAGACUCCUACGAGAGGCAGCAGUGGGGAAUAUUGGACAAUGGGCGCAAGCCUGAUCCAGACAUACCGCGUGGGUGAAGAAGGCCUUCGGGUUGUAAAGCCCUUUUGUUGGGAAAGAAAAGCAGCAGGUUAAUACCCCGCUGUUCUGACGGUACCCAAAGAAUAAGCACCGGCUAACUUCGUG
rnacentral:rRNA from 1 species